GACUGCAGACAGAUAGCAUCCAUUGAUUAAUGACCCCUUGAGUCAAAACACUUUACAGCUGAGGAUUGCAGUUUAUCUCGUAGGGAGAAAGCAGACUGAACGAUUGAACGAAGGAAGAAGCGUGCAUUUGGAGUCGGUGUGAGAAGUAGGGGAUAGUUCAACCCUCAGGCCUUUUUACUCACUGGUUCCUGACAGCCAAAUCCUACAAUUAUACACCCACACUCCCAGCCAUGCCUUCUGCAUGUGUUUUUCCUGACUAACAGAAUCACAAAGGCAUGCAGACUUCGUGUUUUUGACAAGUUGUUACUGGAAUAUUCCUAUGUGAUUGAAUGUUCACUUUACAAAGGUUAUCCAACAUAACCUGAUCAGGUUCUGUCCAACAGCUUUGUCUCCAGCCUAAACCUCGUUUUCUGAGCAAGCCGUACAGGUACAGAAGCAGCAAAGAAGCCCUGCACAGUGGAGCAGUGGGUACCACUGUUGCCUUGCAGUAAGAAGGUUCUCUGUUCUAUUCCUGGGUUGGGGUCUUUCUGCAUGGAGUAUGCUUCUACUCCCCGUUCAUGCCUGGGUUCUCUCUGGGUACUCUAGCUUCCUCCCACAGUCCAAAACUACUGGCUAACUGUUCUUAGGAGUCAGUGUGUGUUUUUGCAUGGUUUUGUAUCUUUGUGUGUCUGUGUUGCCAUGCGAUGGACUGGCGACCUGUCCAGGGUGUACUCCACCUCUUGUCCAUAAACAGCCCCACCGAAACCCUGACAAGGACUAAGCAGGAAAAAAUGGAUGGAGUAUCUUUUACCCUACUUUAGCCAAUGGCUUUAUUUCUGUGAUGUCUGGGUUC